GAUGAACGCUGGCGGCGUGCCUAAUACAUGCAAGUCGAGCGAACAGACGAGGAGCUUGCUCCUCUGACGUUAGCGGCGGACGGGUGAGUAACACGUGGAUAACCUACCUAUAAGACUGGGAUAACUUCGGGAAACCGGAGCUAAUACCGGAUAAUAUAUUGAACCGCAUGGUUCAAUAGAGAAAGACGGCUUUGCUGUCACUUAUAGAUGGAUCCGCGCUGCAUUAGCUAGUUGGUAAGGUAACGGCUUACCAAGGAAACGAUGCGUAGCCGACCUGAGAGGGUGAUCGGCCACACUGGAACUGAGACACGGUCCAGACUCCUACGGGAGGCAGCAGUAGGGAAUCUUCCGCAAUGGGCGAAAGCUUGACGCAGCAACGCCGCGUGAGUGAUGAAGGUCUUCGGAUCGUAAAACUCUGUUAUUAGGGAAGAACAGAUGUGUAAGUAACUAUGCACGUCUUGACGGUACCUAAUCAAAAAGCCACGGCUAACUACGUG
rnacentral:rRNA from 1 species